AACGAACGCUGGCGGCAUGGCUAAGACAUGCAAGUCGCACGGACCGUAUAGCAAUAUGCGGUUAGUGGCGAAAGGGAGAGUAAUGAAUAGGUAAUGUACCUUGGACACAGGGAUAACGCCGGGGGCAACCCCUUUACGAAAGUGGCGCUAAUACCUGGUGAAGUCGGGACGGGGCAUCCCGUUGCGACCAGAGGGCGGGGAUCGUAAGACCUGCCGGUCUGAGAGCAGCCUAUUUCCAUCACCUAGUUGGUGAGGUAACGGCUCACCAAGGGAUCGAC
rnacentral:rRNA from 1 species